GCGCAGCAGGCGCGAAUCUUCGGCAAUGGGGGAAACCCUGACCGAGCGACGCCGCGUGUGGGAUGAAGGCCCUUGGGUUGUAAACCACUGUCAGAGGGGAUGAAAUGCCGGAAAGUUAUCUCUCCGGUUUGACAUAGCCUCAGAGGAAGCACGGGCUAAGUUCGUGCCAGCAGCCGCGGUAAGACGAACUGUGCAAACGUUAUUCGGAAUCACUGGGCUUGAAGAGUGCGUAGGCGGUUUCGUAAGUAGGGUGUGAAAGCCCCCGGCUCAACCGGGGAAUUGCGUCCUAAACUGCGAGGCUGGAGUGAGGUAGGGGUGUGUGGAACUUCCAGUGGAGCGGUGAAAUGUGUUGAUAUUGGAAGGAACGCCGGUGGCGAAAGCGACACACUGGACCUUGUCUGACGCUGAGGCACGAAAGCCAGGGGAGCAAACGGGAUUAGAUACCCGGGUAGU
rnacentral:rRNA from 1 species